rnacentral:lncRNA from 1 species
GAACUUUCAUCAGAUUUUCAAAAAUGCCUGUGACACACAAAAAAGGAUAGGAACCACUGACAUAGUAAAUCAUCAACAAGUUUACUGGAAAUUUUUGCUUGCCAGGUAGACUGCCUAAUGAAGCAGAAGGUCAUGAGAAAGUCAUUCUCCUUCUCUGACUUGCGUCUCCCUGGAGAACUACUGCCGGUAGCUACUGGGACCUCCUUCCCUAGGACUGGCACUGAGUGUCCCUGGAUCCAGCCCCGAAUGAGGCUCAAGUCUAGGCAAGGAGCAAGCUCAGGAAAUCACGUAAGAGCCCCAACACGGGGAGACCAGACGUCUGCCUUUGAUGCAGAGAGAGAUAAUAGGUGAGUGGGGGGAACCUGGAAAGCAAAAAGAUACCAAAGGCCAUCUGGAGGUGAUAGUGGGAGUGAAUUGGAGGUGAGUCAGCCAGCUCUCAGGGGAGUUAAAAGACAAGUGGGUAAUUGUGGGUGCAGCCGGCGGGUCACACAGAGAAAAUGAGGAACAAGUGGUUAAUUGGGCCCACAAGCCCAGGAUCCCGCCUGUAAUUAGCAAAUUGCAGGGCUUUGAUAUUUGCUUUGGUAACAACCUAUGUAGUAAAUUGCAGGGAGGAAAACUGCACCCCCAACCUGGGAGGUGACCCUGUGUCUGUAUUCCCCAAACCAUUGUCUCACAAACACUCAUAGGCAGUACACCCAUGAGUGCAAUCCCAGCAUCGGGGUGAGGGGGCCUUGCACCUUUCUGAAGGCUGCCAGCAGCCUGUGACACUUUCUGUGUUCCCCUUUACUCCUGGUUUAAGUUUUGGCCAACUCAGAGGUGGAGUUGAGGCCUCAUUCCCUGGUAUGGGCUCCCACCAUUCACACACUGUUUCCAACGUUCUCUUGAGCCACACAGCCCCUACUGUAGAGUUCCUCUAGCCAGAGAUAUGACCUAGGAGUGGCUAUGGGGAAUUCCAAUGUGAGUGUCAUAGGAUUGUCUGGGGAGAGACAAGAGAGCCCUGUUGCAGUGUUGUUGAAAUCUGUCCAUGAGGAUGGCCUGUGCUGGUCCCUGAUCAGAGAUUGGCCUUCACAGAUUUCAUAUCUGUGUUUAUCUUUGCAAGCUUCUGAGACGUUCUAACCAGAGUGAAGACCAGAAGUAUAGGAAAAUUGCUUUGGGAUUGUCAUGGUAAAACCUUAGG